UUGCUCCCUGAUGUUAGCGGCGGACGGGUGAGUAACACGUGGGUAACCUGCCUGUAAGACUGGGAUAACUCCGGGAAACCGGGGCUAAUACCGGAUGGUUGUUUGAACCGCAUGGUUCAGACAUAAAAGGUGGCUUCGGCUACCACUUACAGAUGGACCCGCGGCGCAUUAGCUAGUUGGUGAGGUAACGGCUCACCAAGGCGACGAUGCGUAGCCGACCUGAGAGGGUGAUCGGCCACACUGGGACUGAGACACGGCCCAGACUCCUACGGGAGGCAGCAGUAGGGAAUCUUCCGCAAUGGACGAAAGUCUGACGGAGCAACGCCGCGUGAGUGAUGAAGGUUUUCGGAUCGUAAAGCUCUGUUGUUAGGGAAGAACAAGUGCCGUUCAAAUAGGGCGGCACCUUGACGGUACCUAACCAGAAAGCCACGGCUAACUACGUGCCAGCAGCCGCGGUAAUACGUAGGUGGCAAGCGUUGUCCGGAAUUAUUGGGCGUAAAGGGCUCGCAGGCGGUUUCUUAAGUCUGAUGUGAAAGCCCCCGGCUCAACCGGGGAGGGUCAUUGGAAACUGGGGAACUUGAGUGCAGAAGAGGAGAGUGGAAUUCCACGUGUAGCGGUGAAAUGCGUAGAGAUGUGGAGGAACACCAGUGGCGAAGGCGACUCUCUGGUCUGUAACUGACGCUGAGGAGCGAAAGCGUGGGGAGCGAACAGGAUUAGAUACCCUGGUAGUCCACGCCGUAAACGAUGAGUGCUAAGUGUUAGGGGGUUUCCGCCCCUUAGUGCUGCAGCUAACGCAUUAAGCACUCCGCCUGGGGAGUACGGUCGCAAGACUGAAACUCAAAGGAAUUGACGGGGGCCCGCACAAGCGGUGGAGCAUGUGGUUUAAUUCGAAGCAACGCGAGAACCUUACCAGGUCUUGACAUCCUCUGACAUCCUAGAGAUAGGACGUCCCCUUCGGGGCAGA
rnacentral:rRNA from 1 species